AGGCUGGAGGAGAGACACAAGCUGGAGGACUGAGGAUGGAGCAGGAUCUAUUGACUCUGGCUGCAUGGAAACCAGAUGUAAACGAGGGGAAAAUCCACCUGGGAGAUUCGGCACGACCUCAAACUGAAGACAUUUUGGCUCCAGAGUUUUGCUCUUGCUUGCGACGCACAGGCCUUGUGAAGACGCCUCAUCCUCAUCAUCAUGUCAGAAGAUUGCUCAGCAUGCCUGAAGUGCACAGGGGGGGGGGUCUGUUUCUGUCUUUGGUUAUCUAGCUGUAUGAGUUUUAAAUACCUGUCAUAAAGCUAGAUAACCGAAAGUAGAAAUGACUUCCAUCAGCUGUGUGUUUGCCCCUGAGGAAGGUGUGUGUGCGUGUGUGUGCGUGUGUGUGCGAGUGUGGGGGAGGUUAUGUUGCUCCAGAGGAAGAUUAUCAUCUGGGAAAGAGACAGCAUCAAGCAAAAACAAGAAGGGGAAAAUGGCUGGUCUGAAUUUUCCACGUCCUCCGACACCCUCGCCUGUUUUUACCCAGAAGCCCCCAUGCCAUCUGUAUCGCCAGCGGAGACACUCGGCUGUGCCAGGAGAUAGACAAAGACCUGGAGCAUGGGCAUGCUCAGAGGAGCCAUCUUGGGAGAUCGUUCAUCGAGACAUCUAAAAUGGCUGGGCUGGCACUUGAGGACAGGACCAGAACUCUGAAGAUCUCUGCGUCUGGCUUUGGGGACCAAACUCAACAUAAAAAAUUAAAAAAAAUAAAAUAUCACCAUACUUACAGGACUCUGGGCACCGAAUCUGAAUCUCACUUUGUGAAUGGAUUGUACUUGUAUGAACUGUACUGAGUUGAAUUUGCAAUACAGACAAUUAAAGUUAAUGCUAUACUGUUGUAAUAAAGUGUGUAAUUGAACAUUUUCAGAAACAGAGUAAAAUUAAUAGAUUUUUUUACCCAACAUAAUGUGUAUCACUGUAAAACAAAUGUAUUGUUGAAUUCUCUUUUCUAUCUAGUGUAACGAAUUAAAUGAUAAUUUAUAUAAUAUAAAUGUGAAAUAUGAAAAAUUAAAUGUAUUCCUGCCAAGAAUACAAAAUGAUAGAUGUCGUAUUUGUGCUUUACUGAUUUCUAAUAUACUUAUUUUUGAUCCAUUAGUUAUAUUUUGGAAUGUUCUUUAAGUAUGCAAAAUGUAAUUUGAUUAGAUGUUAUGCUAUCUUAUGUUGUAUUGCUUUGCAGUAUGUUUGUGUAUUUAAUGGUUAAUAAAUUUGUCUAAAUUAUUUAAUUCAUUCAUUACAUUAUAGCACUAAAUACAUGCAUGUGCACAUGCAUGUAUUUAAUGUUAGCCUUUCAUUAAUGUUUCUGAGUAUAAAUUGUAGAAAAUAAACUCAGAAAAUGUGAAACCAAGCAUUUAUGAAAAUGUCCUCA